rnacentral:rRNA from 1 species
GUGAAUCAUCGAAUCUUUGAACGCACCUUGCGCUCCUUGGUAUUCCGAGGAGCAUGCCUGUUUGAGUGUCAUGAAAUUCUCAACCUAUAAACCUUUGCGGGUUUGUAGCGUUGGAUGUUGGAGGCUUUUGCUGGCCCAGUCAGCUCCUCUUAAAUGCAUUAGCUUGGUUCCUUGUGGAUCGGCUGUCGGUGUGAUAAUGUCUACGCCGCACCCGUGAAGCGAUUGGAGAGCUUCUAAUGGUCUCGUCAGAGACAGCUUUUAUGAACUCUGACCUCAAAUCAGGUAGGACUACCCGCUGAACUUAA